CUCUAAAGCUGGUCUCCAGCUCCUCUCCCCCCAUAUCUUGUAAAUGAAGAGUUAGUGUUGCUGUAAUUUUAGGUUAAAAAUUUCUACUAAUGCUUUCCUGUCCUAAAGCUCAUGAUGGCUCCAAUAACUCACCAAUUUACUGUAUCUAACCUUCUGGGAUAGCUCCAAGAAUGGAAGCUGAAAUUAAACUGUGUGUACGCCUACCUGACUAAUAUCAGAGGGGUGAGAAAGGAAGAACAGAAUGGUAUGCACACCGGAACUGUAAAUUCUCAAUGGACUAAGAUUCUAAGGCCAGAAGGGACCACUAGACCAUCUACGAUCAGGGCACAGAAUUUCACUCAGCUACCCCUGUGUUGGAACCAAUACACUGAGUUUGACUAAAGCAGAUCUUCUAGAAAGGCAUCCAGAUUUCGUAAAGCCCUAUCUAAUGGCAUCAGAUGAGAAGAUCAUCAUUUAAAAAAAAAAAUAAGAUCUUAAUCUUUACAGGUGUGGAGAAAAGCUUGAAAAUGUGACGAGCAUAGCCUGGAGGCUCAAAAAGCAGAAGACAAUAGAAAAGCAUCUUUUUUUUUUUUAAACCAGUACUUUACAUCCAAUCACAAUAUUGAGUCUUAACUCAGGAUUUUUCAAUGUGUGCGGUUGACAAUACCAUGUGGACAUAUAUUUAUAUAAACAAACUGCAGCUUUCUUUCAAAGAAAGAAAAUGAAUGCCCUUCCAAUUAGUGCCAGCUGGUUCGCUGAGGUUUAAUUUUCACAUGAAAAUGAAUAGGCCUAAAUAUGAACUCAUAAUACAGACUAACAGCUGUACAUAAUGCCUCUUUGAAAAGAUCUCACUCCUAUUCCACUAUAUAGAGCAAAGUGGUGGCUCCCAAUUGUGGUAACUUGAUGCUUAUUUUUUAUGAUAGUAGAACCUGCAAGCCCCCAAUGAGAUUGAGGCCCCAUUGCAUUGGGUAUUAUACAAAACCCACAGUGCCUACUGUGAAGAGCUUAGUCUAAAGCAGCAGGGCAGAGAAAGGGCGGGUGAAAUCAAGUAGCAGAUUCCCAUUUUAUAGACAGAGAACAGAGGCACAGCUUAAGUGAUUUACACAAGAUGAUUUAGGAAGUCUGUGGCACAGCCAACCCUGGAAGCUGGGACUCAUGCCAAUGCCCGAGCCACACAAUCUUCUUCCGUCAGUGUUUAUUUAGAUCUAAUAAUUGUGGCACUUCCACUUGGUAAAUACCUGCUUUAAGUGACUGGUAGGCAGGGCCUUUUUCAGGUGGCUUCAAAGCCCUUUCCCUUUUUCAAAGGGCUGUUUGGGUUUUGCUAAGUCUGGGGGGCUGGAGGGGAUUUGUCAGCUGUUUCCCUCUCAGCUCCUCUGCAACACGAGUCAGCAACUUGUGAGACAUGACAGCUUUCCUCCUGGCUGCUGCCCCUUCCUGUGACCCACUCUCCUUUUUAAGCUUGCUUCCUCCAACCGUGUGGUGUUUGGUGAGACUGAGCCCAGAGGAGCUCGUUAGCCACCUCCUGAUUGGGAUGGGAGCAUAGGACUGAAGCCAGUUGGCAAUGAUCUACAGAUGAUAUAAAAAUGUCAGUGUCCUUCUGUUAGGGAUGUAACACGGAGGAGGAGGAGGAAUUUCACUGGAGCCACAAGCCAGGUCUGUAGCAGCAUAGACCAACUUAACACAGGUUGCAAACAUGGUUUAAGUAACUAGAAGGACUAUUGGUGAGGAAAGACAAAAAGAGCUAAGUCUGUAUAGUUUUCUUAACCUGAGUGUAAGGGAGCUGACUACAAGUGCUUGAAAGGCAUAAAGGGAGAAGAAUUGAAGGGGUACUAGCAUGACAUUAAGAAAAGAGGGAAGUGAAUAUCAGGGGAAAUAUGCUCUUGGUGAAAUCCGUUAGACUCUGGUAUGAUCUGAGGGAACUGACAGAAAGUCCACGGGUAAAUACAUUUAAAACUAAACUUCAGAGAGCACUUAACGGAAAACUUUAUGGAACAAUCUUGCAUUGGCAGACUGGUCAGAGAACGGA